AUCGGCGGGGGCCGCGCACAAGCGGUGGAGCAUGUGGAUUAAUUUGAAGCAACGCGAAGAACCUUAACAGGUGUUGACAUCCUCUGACAAUCCUAGAGAUAGGACGUCCCCUUCGGGGGCAGAGUGACAGGUGGUGCAUGGUUGUCGUCAGCUCGUGUCGUGAGAUGUUGGGUUAAAUUCCGCAACGAGCGCAACCCUUGAUUUUAGUUGCCAGCAUUCAGUUGGGCACUCUAAGGUGACUGCCGGUGACAAACCGGAGGAAGGUGGGGAUGACGUCAAAUCAUCAUGCCCCUUAUGACCUGGGCUACACACGUGCUACAAUGGACAGAACAAAGGGCAGCGAAACCGCGAGGUUAAGCCAAUCCCACAAAUCUGUUUUCAGUUCGGAUCGCAGUUUGCAACUCGACUGCGUGAAGCUGGAAUCGCUAGUAAUCGCGGAUCAGCAUGCCGCGGUGAAUACGUUCCCGGGCCUUGUACACCCCGCCGGUCACACCACGAGAGUUUGUAACACCCGAAGUCCGUGUGUAACCUUUAUGGAGCCAGCCGCCGAAGGUGGGACAGAUGAUUGGGGUGUAA
rnacentral:rRNA from 1 species